AGCGAACGCUGGCGGCAGGCCUAACACAUGCAAGUCGAGCGGAUGAGUGGAGCUUGCUCCAUGAUUCAGCGGCGGACGGGUGAGUAAUGCCUAGGAAUCUGCCUGGUAGUGGGGGACAACGUUUCGAAAGGAACGCUAAUACCGCAUACGUCCUACGGGAGAAAGCAGGGGACCUUCGGGCCUUGCGCUAUCAGAUGAGCCUAGGUCGGAUUAGCUAGUAGGUGAGGUAAUGGCUCACCUAGGCGACGAUCCGUAACUGGUCUGAGAGGAUGAUCAGUCACACUGGAACUGAGACACGGUCCAGACUCCUACGGGAGGCAGCAGUGGGGAAUAUUGGACAAUGGGCGAAAGCCUGAUCCAGCCAUGCCGCGUGUGUGAAGAAGGUCUUCGGAUUGUAAAGCACUUUAAGUUGGGAGGAAGGGCAGUAAGUUAAUACCUUGCUGUUUUGACGUUACCAACAGAAUAAGCACCGGCUAACUUCGUGCCAGCCGCCGCAGUAACAC
rnacentral:rRNA from 1 species